rnacentral:rRNA from 1 species
UACGAAGGGGGCGAGCGUUGUCCGGAAUCAUUGGGCGUAAAGAGCGUGUAGGCGGCUCGAUAAGUCCGCUGUGAAAGUCCAGGGCUCAACCCUGGAAUGCCGGUGGAUACUGUCGGGCUAGAGUCCGGAAGGGGCGAGUGGAAUUCCUGGUGUAGCGGUGAAAUGCGCAGAUAUCAGGAGGAACACCAAUGGCGAAGGCAGCUCGCUGGGACGGUACUGACGCUGAGACGCGAAAGCGUGGGGAGCGAACAGG